rnacentral:rRNA from 1 species
CAUGCAAGUCGAGCGAACGGACGAGGAGCUUGCUCCUUUGAAGUUAGCGGCGGACGGGUGAGUAACACGUGGGUAACCUACCUAUAAGACUGGAAUAACUCCGGGAAACCGGGGCUAAUGCCGGAUAACAUGUUGAACCGCAUGGUUCAACAGUGAAAGACGGUCUUGCUGUCACUUAUAGAUGGACCCGCGCCGUAUUAGCUAGUUGGUGGGGUAACGGCCUACCAAGGCGACGAUACGUAGCCGACCUGAGAGGGUGAUCGGCCACACUGGAACUGAGACACGGUCCAGACUCCUACGGGAGGCAGCAGUAGGGAAUCUUCCGCAAUGGGCGAAAGCCUGACGGAGCAACGCCGCGUGAGUGAUGAAGGUCUUCGGAUCGUAAAGCUCUGUUGUUAGGGAAGAACAAAUGUGUAAGUAACUGUGCACGUCUUGACGGUACCUAACCAGAAAGCCACGGCUAA